GCCCAGACUCCUACGGGAGGCAGCAGUGAGGAAUAUUGGUCAAUGGGCGGGAGCCUGAACCAGCCAAGCCGCGUGAAGGAGGAAGGCGCCAGGCGUCGUAAACUUCUUUUGUCGGGGAACAAAGGGCGUCACGCGUGGCGUUGUGAGUGUACCCGAAGAAAAAGCAUCGGCUAACUCCGUGCCAGCAGCCGCGGUAAUACGGAGGAUGCGAGCGUUAUCCGGAUUUAUUGGGUUUAAAGGGUGCGUAGGCGGACUGGAAAGUCAGCGGUAAAAUCGAGAGGCUCAACCUCUUUCCGCCGUUGAAACUGUCGGUCUUGAGUGGGCGAGAAGUAUGCGGAAUGCGUGGUGUAGCGGUGAAAUGCAUAGAUAUCACGCAGAACUCCGAUUGCGAAGGCAGCAUACCGGCGCCCAACUGACGCUGAGGCACGAAAGCGUGGGUAUCGAACAGGAUUAGAUACCCCAGUA
rnacentral:rRNA from 1 species